rnacentral:rRNA from 1 species
GACGAACGCUGGCGGCGUGCUUAACACAUGCAAGUCGAACGAAGAGCGAUGGAAGCUUGCUUCUAUCAAUCUUAGUGGCGAACGGGUGAGUAACGCGUAAUCAACCUGCCCUUCAGAGGGGGACAACAGUUGGAAACGACUGCUAAUACCGCAUACGAUCUAAUCUCGGCAUCGAGGAUAGAUGAAAGGUGGCCUCUACAUGUAAGCUAUCACUGAAGGAGGGGAUUGCGUCUGAUUAGCUAGUUGGAGGGGUAACGGUCCACCAAGGCGAUGAUCAGUAGCCGGUCUGAAAGGAUGAACGGCCACAUUGGGACUGAGACACGGCCCAGACUCCUACGGGAGGCAGCAGUGGGGAAUCUUCCGCAAUGGACGAAAGUCUGACGGAGCAACGCCGCGUGAGCGAUGACGGCCUUCGGGUUGUAAAGCUCUGUUAAUCGGGACGAAAGGCCUUCUUGCGAAUAGUGAGAAGGAUUGACGGUACCGGAAUAGAAAGCCACGGCUAACUACGUG